GUUCCCUCAGCCCAUAGAGCAGUGUUGCCAGGUCCGCGGUUUUCCUGCGGAAUCGGGCUUGAAGUGUUUGUCCUUGGUUCGGGUAGACCUAUUUUGCAUGCAAAUUACAUGAAUAUCUUUAAAUAAAAAUCCAUAUUUUAAAUGAAAUAAUUUAUUCAUACCCAAAUCCUACCAAACUGACUCCAGAUCAGCACGUACACAUUUUAUUUAUGAUAAUAUACUGUAUCUAAUUACACAAGGCCAUUUUAGGACCUAGGUGAAAUAACUUGAGGGAAAACUGCUUUUAAUGCUGGCAAACUAAACAUAUGUUGUUACUUUGUAGAUAUUACAAUACAUUUGGCAAUGAUAGCAAUGCUGUUGAACUUUAAAAGCAGUGUAUAUGGUUUGGCACGGGCAUAUUUUGAGUUCUGAUAUUGGGCUGGUUUUUGGGCUGGUUGUGUCACACAGACCUGGCAACCCUGCUGCCCAGAGCUCCACGGAGGUACGCGAGCAACAUAGCUAGCAGAAGCUUUAUGUUAGUAUGGCGUCGGCGACUGAAAACUCUGGUAUCUCUACACCAAACACCUUUCAAUCGACGGUCAGAUAUUGACAAGAAGAGGCUGAAAGAGUUGGGACCCGAACAUCCGGAUUUUAAAAUUCUGCAGCAAAGCGCUGACCCGGAGGUUCUCCUCAAGCCUGUAUGCUAACCGGAGCUGGUUAGCUGAAUGCUCCAUGAGUAAUUCGUUUUUUGUUUCCCCUGUCUGUUUUCCAAAGUCCUGGGACGGAAACUCUCUGGACUACAACGGGGUGAGGGAUCUACAGAGCUUCAGACAAGUGUAAAGCACGAAUCUUGCCGCAGUUAUCUAGCUAAGAACAUGGAGCUAACUCGCUAACAGCAUGAAGCUAACCCUGUUUGCAGACCGAACUGGCAUCGAAAACACAACGAAGAAGUUCUGAAAAACAGACACAUUCCCUCCAGAAUAAUGGAAACAGGCUGGUUACAGACAUGAUGGACUUUAACCAGAGUUAUUGAGAAGUUUGACCACUUUAAAGAGAGGAGGCUACUUUUCUUUACAUAUAGUGGGUCUACUCUGUCAAACAGUUAGAAAUGCACUCUGUCAUUUCUUGUUUUCAAUGUAUUGUAUUUUAUUUUUGUUUGUUGUUCAACGAUAUUAUUGAGUGUUUGUGAAUUUUAUUUUAAUGAGCUAUUUUUAUAUAGCGUUAUUUUUAAAAAUCUGUUUCCUGCGGAAAUUGCUUUCCAUCUGUUGCACUUCCUGCUCCUGAGUCCGUCUUUCCGUCACAAUGGUUUUAUAUUGCCGAGGAAUAAAUAAGUGCUGGGAAAAUCCACCAUCUGAGCCGACUUCUUCCAUGCCCGUUCCACAUCAGUUACAUCUGCUCUGAACCUCUUUCAUGUGAGGGUGAAACUCUUUUAUUUUGCAAACCUCUGAAACCCAACCCAAUGUUCCUUAAAGCUGCUCUGAACCUCUCAUGCCCAAAGUUACAGUGUGUUGAUAGUUGUUGUUGGACAGUGUUGAGCACGCUGUGUUCUUGAAAUAAAGCUUUGUUUUUUACAAUA